rnacentral:lncRNA from 1 species
ACCCAGUUAGCUGUCUUGUCUCCUUGAUGGCUGCUGUCUCAACAUAAGUUCUCAGCUCCUGCUCUAGAGCCAUGCUUGCCUGUUUCCAUGCUUCUCCAGACGAUGGUCAUGAACUCUGCUGCCCUCCGGAAUCAUGAGCCCCAGACUAAAUGCUUUCUUACAUAUGCUCACACGAUCUGAAAUUCGCUGCUGUGAAAACAGAAGGAAACGGUCCUGUCAGGAGAACCAGCCCCUGCAGUUCCCUAAGGCUGGCACAAUGGAGGAAGGUUCCUCUCCGCCUGAGUUCCUACCUCGGUGAUGGACUCCGUGAUGGACUAUGAUCCUGACACGUAAGCCAAACGAACCCUUUCCUCUCCAGGUUGCUGUUUAGCACAGCAGAAGCAGCAGCAGCAGGCUUCUCUCUCUCCUCUCAGAAGCAUCAUGUGCUCUUCGAUGCUGAGUCAUCUCACUAGGCCCCUCCCGAGCCCUCUUCCACACCUUCUGAGAGAUAAUGUCUCACGUGAAUCUCUGGCUGGCUAGAACUUAGAACCAGAGCAGGCUGAUCUCCAAACGAGGACCAUCUCCUGCCUCCCAGAUGCUGGGAUUCCAGGUGUGUGGGUAUGUGCGCCACACACCUGGCUACUGGAACACAUUUUUGUUAAUUAGCUGAAUUAGUCAUAUAGUCGUAUUAUGCUAAACUGCAUUAAUUUAGUUAGGCCAAGUGGUAUUAGUUAAUUAAAUUCCUGUAACAUGGAAGACAGCGGCUGGGGAGACCUUUUCCUAAGUGCUCCUCGCUCUAUCUCCCAAUGUUCGAACUUAAAUCUCUAUUAAAACUAUAUUUUAGGCAGGUGUGGGUGCUCUCAUAGGAUCAGAAAUCCAAAGCCAUUUUUUGGCUACAUAUAGAGCUCAAGGCCAGCCAGGCUAUAGGAGACCUUGCCUUAGAACAAAUAAAACAAGAACUGUGGGUCAUAAAACCAGUAGGUGUAGUGGUUAAAGCCCAGAGUCUCAAAAUGUGAAGGCUCACAGCCCGAUAAUCACUGCAAAUUCAAGGCUAGUCUGAGCUUUAAAUAAAGUUCUAGCCAACCCAAGGCUGUAUAUAGGGAGACACUAUUUAAAAUAAAGAAAUAACUAUUUAAAAUAAACAAAUAAAAUAAAGUAAAAUAAAAUGG